CGCAAGGGAUCUCUGGACAGACUGCCCUGUGAAACGGGGAGGAAGGUGGGGAUGACGUCAAGUCAGUAUGGCCCUUACGGCCAGGGCUGCACACGUACUACAAUGCCCAGAACAGAAUGAACCGAGACCGCGAGGUGGAGGAAAUCGAUAAAUCUGGGCCCAGUUCGGAUCGGAGGCUGCAAUUCGCCUCCGUGAAGCCGGAAUCGCUAGUAAUGGCGCAUCAGCUACGGCGCCGUGAAUACGUUCCCGGGCCUUGUACACACCGCCCGUCACAUCAUGGGAGUCGUUUGUAGCCGAAGUACGCACGCUAACCGCAAGGAGGCAGCGUCCUACGCUAUGAGCGGUAACUGGGAUGAAGUCGUAACAAGGUAGCCGUAGGGGAACCUGC
rnacentral:rRNA from 1 species